rnacentral:rRNA from 1 species
UACGUAGGGUGCAAGCGUUAAUCGGAAUUACUGGGCGUAAAGCGUGCGCAGGCGGUCUUGCAAGACAGAUGUGAAAUCCCCGGGCUCAACCUGGGAACUGCAUUUGUGACUGCAAGGCUGGAGUACGGUAGAGGGGGAUGGAAUUCCGCGUGUAGCAGUGAAAUGCGUAGAUAUGCGGAGGAACACCGAUGGCGAAGGCAGGUCUCUGGGCUGACACUGACGCUCAUGCACGAAAGCGUGGGGAGCAAACAGG